GACGAACGCUGGCGGCGUGCCUAAUACAUGCAAGUAGAACGCUGAAGAGAGGAGCUUGCUCUUCUUGGAUGAGUUGCGAACGGGUGGGUAACGCGUAGGUAACCUGCCUUGUAGCGGGGGAUAACUAUUGGAAACGAUAGCUAAUACCGCAUAACAAUGGAUGACACAUGUCAUUUAUUUGAAAGGGGCAAUUGUUCCACUACAAGAUGGACCUGCGUUGUAUUAGCUAGUAGGUGAGGUAAUGGCUCACCUAGGCGACGAUACAUAGCCGACCUGAGAGGGUGAUCGGCCACACUGGGACUGAGACACGGCCCAGACUCCUACGGGAGGCAGCAGUAGGGAAUCUUCGGCAAUGGGGGCAACCCUGACCGAGCAACGCCGCGUGAGUGAAGAAGGUUUUCGGAUCGUAAAGCUCUGUUGUAAGUCAAGAACGGGUGUGAGAGUGGAAAGUUCACACUGUGACGGUAGCUUACCAGAAAGGGACGGCUAACUACGUG
rnacentral:rRNA from 1 species